rnacentral:rRNA from 1 species
GACGAACGCUGGCGGCGUGCCUAACACAUGCAAGUCGAACGAGGUCCAAGGGAGCUUGCUCCCUGACGACCUAGUGGCGAACGGGUGAGUAACACGUGAGAAACCUGCCUCGGAGUGGGGAAUAACUCGGGGAAACUCGAGCUAAUACCGCAUACCUUCAGAUGGUCGCAUGGCCGACUGAAGAAAGAAUUUCGCUCUGAGAGGGUCUCGCGGCCUAUCAGCUAGUUGGUGGGGUAACGGCCUACCAAGGCAGCGACGGGUAGCUGGAUUGAGAGAUCGAUCAGCCACACUGGGACUGAGACACGGCCCAGACUCCUACGGGAGGCAGCAGUGGGGAAUCUUGCGCAAUGGGCGAAAGCCUGACGCAGCAACGCCGCGUGCGGGAUGACGGCCUUCGUGGUUGUAAACCGCUUUCAGCAGGGACGAAAUUGACGGUACCUGCAGAAGAAGCUCCGGCUAACUACGUGCCAGCCGCCGCAGUAAUAC